rnacentral:rRNA from 1 species
CGCGUAGGCGGGUUCUCCAGUCAGGGUGAAUCGUUCGGCUCAACCGGACAAGUGCCCCUGAUACUGAGAGUCUCGAGGGAGGUAGGGGCAUGUGGAACUUCCGGUGGAGCGGUGAAAUGCGUAGAUAUCGGAAGGAACGCCGGUGGCGAAAGCGACGUGCUGGACCUCUUCUGACGCUGAGGCGCGAAAGCCAGGGGAGCAAACG